rnacentral:rRNA from 1 species
ACGAACGCUGGCGGCGUGCUUAACACAUGCAAGUCGAACGGUGAAGCUCCAGCUUGCUGGAGUGGAUCAGUGGCGAACGGGUGAGUAACACGUGAGCAACCUGCCCCUGACUCUGGAAUAAGCGCUGGAAACGGCGUCUAAUACUGGAUACGAGAAGGGUCCGCAUGGGCACUUUCUGGAAAGUUUUUCGGUUGGGGAUGGGCUCGCGGCCUAUCAGCUUGUUGGUGAGGUAAUGGCUCACCAAGGCGACGACGGGUAGCCGGCCUGAGAGGGCGACCGGCCACACUGGGACUGAGACACGGCCCAGACUCUUACGGGAGGCAGCAGUGGGGAAUAUUGCACAAUGGGCGAAAGCCUGAUGCAGCGACGCCGCGUGAGGGAUGACGGCCUUCGGGUUGUAAACCUCUUUCAGCAGGGAAGAAGCGAAAGUGACGGUACCUGCAGAAGAAGCACCGGCUAACUACGUG